rnacentral:misc_RNA from 1 species
UCUCCGUUGGUGAACCAGCGGAGGGAUCAUUACAGGACUCGCAAGACUCCUACAAUCCUGUGAAUUUAACUAUAAGCACGUUGCUUCGGCGGGUGUCUCGGAGGGGGUUCUCCCUCCCCGAGACGCUAAACCCGCCGGCAGCCUACUAUACUCUGUCUCUUUGCGUUGGCAUCUCGAGUACAAUCAAACAAGUUAAAACUUUCAACAACGGAUCUCUUGGUUCUG